rnacentral:rRNA from 1 species
AUUGAACGCUGGCGGCAUGCCUUACACAUGCAAGUCGAACGGCAGCACGGGAGCAAUCCUGGUGGCGAGUGGCGAACGGGUGAGUAAUAUAUCGGAACGUGCCCAGUCGUGGGGAUAACGUAGCGAAAGCUACGCUAAUACCGCAUACGAUCUAUGGAUGAAAGCGGGGGAUCGCAAGACCUCGCGCGAUUGGAGCGGCCGAUAUCAGAUUAGGUAGUUGGUGAGGUAAAGGCUCACCAAGCCGACGAUCUGUAGCUGGUCUGAGAGGACGACCAGCCACACUGGGACUGAGACAGGCCCAGACUCCUACGGGAGGCAGCAGUGGGGAAUUUUGGACAAUGGGCGCAAGCCUGAUCCAGCAAUGCCGCGUGCAGGAUGAAGGCCUUCGGUUGGUAACGUUAGCUUUUGUUACGGUAACGG